UACAGAGGUCCCGAGCGUUGUUCGGAUUCACUGGGCGUAAAGGGUGCGCAGGCGGCCAAGUGUGUGAGGCGUGAAAGCCCGGGGCUUAACCCCGGAAUUGCACCUCAAACUACUUGGCUAGAGCAUUGGAGAGGGUAGCAGAAUUCAUGGUGUAGCAGUGAAAUGCGUAGAUAUCAUGAGGAAUACCAGAGGCGAAGGCGGCUACCUGGACAAUUGCUGACGCUCAGGCACGAAAGCGUGGGGAGCAAAAGGG
rnacentral:rRNA from 1 species